rnacentral:rRNA from 1 species
CAGUAGCCGCGGGAAAACCGAGGGUGCAAGCGUUAAUCGGAAUUACUGGGCGUAAAGCGCGCGUAGGUGGUUUGUUAAGUUGGAUGUGAAAGCCCCGGGCUCAACCUGGGAACUGCAUCCAAAACUGGCAAGCUAGAGUACGGUAGAGGGUGGUGGAAUUUCCUGUGUAGCGGUGAAAUGCGUAGAUAUAGGAAGGAACACCAGUGGCGAAGGCGACCACCUGGACUGAUACUGACACUGAGGUGCGAAAGCGUGGGGAGCAAACAGGAUUAGAUACCCCAGUAGUCCCUGUCUCUUAUAA